AUGCAGACUACUGGGUCCCAGGAUUAAGCACCGCACUGCACGGAGCCAUGCACUGAGUGUGGAGCAAAUGGUUUGUGUGGCCUUGCGCUUUUUUGCUAGUGGAGCCUUCCUGUACUCAGUGGGGGAUGCAGAACAGCUGAACAAGGCCACAAUUUGCCACACAAUAAGGAGUGUGUGUCUGGCUAUCAAAGCAUUAGCAGAUGUCUUCAGCUCCUUCCCUGGCCACAGAAGACUCUGUGACAUCAAAGAGGAGUUCUAUAGGAUUGCAGAUGGUCUGCAAUGCUGACUGUGUGAUCAGCAAUGUUGUGGCAAAAUGGCCUGGCUCAGUCCAUGACUCCAGAAUCUUUCGGGCCUCUGAAAUCUAUCAGUGCCUAUCACAAGGUGAAUUCUCUGGUGUGUUGCUGGGAGACAGGGGGUAUGGCUGCCAGCCUUUUCUCCUGACACCUUUCACAGACCCCCAGGAAGCACAGCAGGCCUACAACCAUGCCCAUGCCAGGACCAGGGCCAGAGUUGAAAUGACCUUUGGCCUCCUGAAGGCACGCUUUCACUGCCUUCACAAAUUAAGGGUCAGCCCUGUUAGGGCAUGUGA